CGGAAACCGUGCUGGUCUGGGGGAAACUGGGAUGGACUGGGGGAAACCUCAGCUGAACUGGGAGCCGCUGGGCUGAACUGGGAUAUACUGGGCUGAACUGGGAUAUAUUGGGCUGAACUGGGAUAUACUGGGCGGAACUGGGAUAUACUGGGCUGAACUGGGAUCACGGUUUCGAGCUGCACUGGGGACGCCUCAUUCGCACUGGGAGCCCCUCGCCUGUCCUGGGUGAGCCUCGUGCCGCACUGAUUUGUACUGGGAGAGCCCCAGUUUGCACUGGGAGGGGGCUCGUGCCGGACUGGGAGCCACUGGUUUGUACUGGGAGAGCCCCAGCACCGAGACCCCAACUCAUCUCCAACCGGGAUCCCCCCGGCUGCGUCCCCGCUUCCCUCCCGGUGUUCCCCCGGUCCCCUCCCGGUGUUCCCCCGGUGUUGCCCCGCUGCCCCCCCCCCGGUGUCGCCGCUCCCCACCCGGUGUCGCCGCGGUGUCGCCGCUGUCACCUGCAGGUGUAGCUGAGGUUCCUGCGGAUGCUGCGCUUGAAGAAGCUCUUGCAGCCCUCGCAGGUGAACACUCCGUAGUGCUUCCCGCUGGAUUUGUCCCCGCACACCACGCAGUCCGCGCCGGCCCCGGGCCGCUCCUCCUCGCCGUGCUCCGCGUCGCUGCCGCCGCCACCGGGGGACGCCGCCUCCUCCGCUCCGCCGCCGCCGCCGCCUCCGGUGCCGGCGGCUCCGCCGCCGUUCGGUUCGCCCCAAGCGCCGGCCACCAUGGCCAUGGCUCCGCGGGGCCGCGGGGGCUCAGCGCCGCAUCGAGCGGAGCCUGCCGGUGCUGCUGCUGCUCCCGGUGCUCCUCCCGGUGCUUCUCCUCCUCCCGAGGCUGCUUCUGCUCCCGGUUCUGCUCUCGGCGCUGGUUCUGCUCCCGGUUCUUCUCCUCCCGGUUCUUCUCCUCCCGGUUCUCCUCCUCCCGGAUCUUCUCCUCCCGGUUCUCUCCUCCCGGUUCUUCCCUUCCCGGUUCUUCCCCUCCCGUUGCUUCCCCACGCCGAGUUCGGUAAGUUUUACCGAGGAAUCGCUGGCUGGGAGAAGCGCCGCUUUUUGGGGUAGUUUUUCUUUUUUAGGUUUUUUUUUUUUUGGGGUCGCCCCCUCAGGGAUUUGUCGCUCUCCUCCUCCUCCUCCUCCUGCCGGUUCACGGCCCCGCGGAAAGUUUGCGGCGGCGGCGGCGGCGGGGCCGGGGCGCGGCGCAUCCCCCCCGCGGGCACCGGCCGCAUGCGGGGCCGCUCCCGCCCCCGGUGGCUCCUGCGCUCCGCGGCACCGGCUGGAAGGAGGAGGAGGAGAGGAGGAGGAGGAGGAGGAGGAGGAGGAAGGAGGCGGCGCUGCCCCGGUUCGCCCUCGCCGCUCUCCGGGCCCCGCCGCCGCUCGCAGCCCGGUGCCGGUGCGGCUGCGGGUGCGGCGGGACCGGCUCCGCCGAGCCCCGGGGCUCUCCCCGCCUCCCGUGAAAGAGCAAAGUUCAGCCGCUGCCGCGGUGGCCGCCCUGGAUGCUCCUCCCCGGCCUCCU
ensembl:lncRNA